GACGCUAUAGCCAAGUGGUUACGGCGACAGAUUAGAAUUGUCCCGUGGAACGGUGAUCUGUUCCUCUUUGAGGGCGCAGGUUCAAGUUCUGCUGGCGUCG